rnacentral:rRNA from 1 species
GCUUUGAUCCGGGGAUGUCCGAAUGGGGAAACCCGGCUGUCUUCAUCGACAGUCACUUUCUGCUGAAUACAUAGGCAGAAUAGAGGCAGACCAGGGGAACUGAAACAUCUAAGUACCCUGAGGAAGAGAAAACAAUAGUGAUUCCGUCAGUAGCGGCGAGCGAACGCGGAUUAGCCCAAACCAAGGAGCUUGCUCCUUGGGGUUGUGGGACGUCUCACAUGGAGUUACAAAGGAACCGGUUAGAUGAAGAGGUCUGGAAAGGCCCGCCAGAGAAGGUAAAAGCCCUGUAGUUCAAAACUUGUUCUCUCCGAGACGGAUCCCGAGUAGUGCGGGGCACGUGAAACCCCGUAUGAAUCCGGCAGGACCAUCUGCCAAGGCUAAAUACUCCCUGGCGACCGAUAGUGAAGCAGUACCGUGAGGGAAAGGUGAAAAGCACCCCGGAAGGGGAGUGAAAUAGAUCCUGAAACCGUGUGCUUACAAGAAGUCAGAGCCCGAUCUAUGGGUGAUGGCGUGCCUUUUGUAGAAUGAACCGGCGAGUUACGUUCCCGUGCAAGGUUAAGGUGAAGAGCUGAAGCCGCAGCGAAAGCGAGUCUGAAUAGGGCGAAUGAGUACGUGGACGUAGACCCGAAACCGGGUGAUCUACCCCUGUCCAGGGUGAAGGUGCGGUAACACGCACUGGAGGCCCGAACCCACGCAUGUUGAAAAAUGCGGGGAUGAGGUGGGGGUAGCGGAGAAAUUCCAAUCGAACCCGGAGAUAGCUGGUUCUCCCCGAAAUAGCUUUAGGGCUAGCCUCGGAAAUAAGAAUCGUGGAGGUAGAGCACUGAUUGGGUGCGGGGCCCGCAAGGGUUACCAAGCUCAGUCAAACUCCGAAUGCCAUAGAUUUAGUUCCGGGAGUCAGACAGUGAGUGCUAAGAUCCAUUGUCGAAAGGGAAACAGCCCAGACCAUCAGCUAAGGUCCCCAAGUGUGUGUUAAGUGGGAAAGGAUGUGGAGUUGCACAGACAACCAGGAUGUUGGCUUAGAAGCAGCCACCAUUGAAAGAGUGCGUAAUAGCUCACUGGUCGAGUGACUCUGCGCCGAAAAUGUAACGGGGCUAAACACACCACCGAAGCUAUGGCUUGAUGCUUGCAUCAGGGGUAGGGGAGCGUUGAAUGCGGGUUGAAGGUGUACCGUAAGGAGCGCUGGACUGCAUUCAAGUGAGAAUGCCGGUAUGAGUAACGAAAAGAUCUGUGAGAAUCAGAUCCGCCGAAAGCCUAAGGGUUCCUGAGGAAGGUUCGUCCGCUCAGGGUAAGUCGGGACCUAAGGCGAGGCCGAUAGGCGUAGUCGAAGGACAACAGGUCGAAAUUCCUGUACCACCGUAAUCCGUUAUGAGCGAUGGGGUGACGCAGUAGGGUAGUGACGCGGACUGAUGGAUGUCCGUCUAAGCAGUGAGGCUGGUGUGUAGGCAAAUCCGCACAUCGUAAGGCUGGGCUGUGAUGGGGAGCGAAAAUUGUAGUAGCGAAGGUCAUGAUCUCAGACUGCCAAGAAAAGCCUCUAGCCAGGAGAAGGUGCCCGUACCGCAAACCGACACAGGUAGGCGAGAAGAGAAUUCUAAGGCGCGCGGAAGAACUCUCGUUAAGGAACUCGGCAAAAUGACCCCGUAACUUCGGGAGAAGGGGUGCCUCGGUAGGGUGAAUAGCCCGAGGGGGCCGCAGUGAAAAGGCCCAAGCGACUGUUUAGCAAAAACACAGGUCUGUGCGAAGCCGCAAGGCGAAGUAUACGGGCUGACGCCUGCCCGGUGCUGGAAGGUUAAGGGGAGUGGUAAGCCUUCGGGCGAAGCUAUGAACCGAAGCCCCAGUAAACGGCGGCCGUAACUAUAACGGUCCUAAGGUAGCGAAAUUCCUUGUCAGGUAAAUUCUGACCCGCACGAAUGGCGUAACGACUUGGGCGCUGUCUCAACGAGAGAUCCGGUGAAAUUUUAAUACCUGUGAAGAUGCAGGUUACCCGCGACAAGACGGAAAGACCCCAUGGAGCUUUACUGCAGCUUGAUAUUGAAUUUGGGUACGAUCUGUACAGGAUAGGUGGGAGCCGU